CGCAGUCGCACUGCCAAAUUCGUCUUCUUCUCUCUCAGAUACGUGCACGUACGCUAUCCUAUACGGAUGUAUAUGCUGGUGUUGUUGAAUUGAAUUGGGAAUUCUGUUCUAGGGUUUUUGUUAGCAUCUCGCGCUGUGAAUAAACGAAGCCAAUUGUAAUUAGGCUUCCCGACCCUCCCUCCGGCUGUCGUAUGGCCGCCGUGCCGAAUAUCUUGGAGGCUGCUGUUUACGGCGUCGAAUGCUUUUCCGGCUUCUGAGUCGGUCACGUUCGCGACCUCGGCCUCGCCGACAAGCAUUCUUUAUGGUGGAAAGGAGAACUUGUACUUCUGCCUACAGAAAAUGGUGGCAACAUUGGCUUGUCAUUUAUUUUAGAAGCUGAUUGAAGAAAAUUGUUACCAUGGCUCGCGAGACUUUUGAGAAGACCUGGUCAGCCAGUUAACUCUGUGAUUUAGACAAUGACUCCUGUUUUCUUUGGGUUUGAUUUUCACGUGAGGCUUGUCAAGUACGGGAUGCAGAAGAGAAUGAAGUGUUGUAACCAUUUUUCUGUUCUACCAACUUUAUUGGGGCAGGAGGGUGACGGCAGAGGUAAAUUUAGGGAGAGGGAAGAGGGGUAAUUUUGGGGAUUAGAUUAAUUUUAGUAUGAUGUGCGUGCUCUUUGUGAGGUUUAACGUAAUUUUAGCAUUAGUUUAUGUUACUAUAUGCCGCAUCGGUGUCCAUUAACGGAGUUUGCUGAAGAUUGAGAGAUUGAAUUUUAACAAAAAUCAAAAUAUACUAAUUGUGAUGACAAAAAUUAAAGUUUAAGUGAUAGUUUGUUAUGAAGUACAAACUUUAGAGACUACUGGUGAAAUUUUCGAGUUCAAGAUAUUUGGGUUUGCUAGCUGAUGCUUGGAUGUUGGCCUUCCCUUGGAGGUUGUAUCAAACACCGUCUUUGACAAUUUGCCUAUCAUAGUUAAUGCAAUUUAUACAUUAAUUUUUGACACUUCAAAAAUUAAAAGUACUUCUUCAAGGAAUUAACAACACUUCUUUACAAAUUUUGAACUACUUUUCAAGAAUUAUAAACACUUUAAAAAUUAUAAACAUUUUUACUAUGUGUAUUUUUUAAAAAAAUAGAGAUACUUUUAAUUUUUGAAGUGUUUAUGUCACAAGCCAAGGGUAGCUAUUGUAAUUUUACUUUUUCUUCUUGUUAUAAUUUUGUUAUAGAAUUGUCUAGUAGCUAGAGGCGAUUACAAAUUCUGUUGUACUGCACAUGGGUGCACGUGGACGAGUCAAGAUCUGUUGUCCCAUUCCCUGUCCAACCAAUCAAAAUCAGCCACAUCACCUAGUUUAUACACAUCAUCAAAUGAUAAUUAUUCUAAAAAAAUUGUAAAAUCAAACAAAAAAAUUACAUGUGGACAUGGGUGUAUGUGGAUGGCUAUGAGGCUAUAUAUAGAACCAUGGCCAGAGGAUGGGAUUCAGUGAUGAAUUACAUGAGUCUUUCCUUUGAAUUCUUUUGCAUCUUCUCUCUCGUUCUCUUCCAAUUUCUCUUCUAGCGAUUUCCAUUAAUUUUUGGAAACUUUAUCUCCCUAACCCUUUGUCAGAUAUGGUGAUAUGAUAAUUGGUUUCAGAGCCUGGCGAUUCUCGACCAAUAGUUCAUACAUUUCAGUGAGCCGCGAGUUCUGAGCAAUCAAAAUUCGGUACAGCUUUCGCCAAAAGAAUACAUCGAGUAGGGUUGAAGAGUUGGAGAUUAACUGGGUUAGUACGACCGACUAUCACUGACAAUCAUUUUGACUAGUGGGUAGCAAGAACAACUAGUGAUGGUAGAAAGGACACGCAUGAAACAAAUGGAAUCAUGAUUGGAUGCGAUAAAAUUAGGUGUUCGAGAAAACUAAGAGCAAACAGAGGAAAGACUGGAAACAAUGGAGCUUGGCCUCUGCCACACCCAAGAAGAAGUGAGUCAAGGCCGAGCGGAAACUAUGGCAAUGGAAAGAAACCUGAGAUAAGAUUUCUUCCAUAUCUAGGGGGAAUUUUAUGGGUUUGGGUAGCAGCUAAGCAUGAUAUUGACCUUGUUCUCUAGGCUAACUAAUGCAAGCCUACCGACGGAUUUCUCACCGAGGGCCAAUCCACCCCAAUACUUGUUGGGGGUCGAAUUAGGCAACGCACCCCAAACUAGCUGGAAACAAAGGAGCGGCCAAAUUUGGAGUCAGAUCCAAUGGCGAGGGGUGUUUAUAUCAAUCCCAACCCGAUUUCGAUGUCGAAACUCGAUAUCUCGGUAUUUGAAGGAGACAAAGCAAGAUGGUGGGUAAGAAGGUGCGGACGUUUCUUCUACCAAUAUUGAGUGGCGGAGGAACAAAAGAUAAACUUCGCAGCCGCCUAUCUAAAUGACACCGGUGAUUCUUGGUUUCUAGGAUAGAGUAGGAAGAGGAUGGUACUAAGUUGGGUGGAGUUUGUAGAAGGCCUCUAUUUGCAAUUAGGGGAAAGAAAGAUGGCAGAUGUUAUUGAAGAAUUUAACAAAAUGAAGUAGAAGGGGAUGGUGGAUGAGUAUUUAGCUAGGUUUGAAAAGGUUUAAGUCAUUGAUAGAUGUUGCUCACCCGACGUUGGACGAAUCCUAUUUUGUGUCCAGCUUCAUCAAUAGGUUAAAUGAGGAGCUAAGACCAGUAAUUAAGAUGAUGUAGCCCACCACCAUCAGUUAAGAUACAGAGAAGGCCAAACUAUAAGAAUUGGCCCUUGAAGCACUUCUCAAGAAGCAUAGGAUUGUGCCAAAAGGGUCUAAACACUAGCAGCUUGCUGGUAAGUAGUGGAUGAGCAUGCAAGGCUUCCAAUUCGGGUAAACAAAAAGGAAAUAUGAUGCCCAAGAUCACCCAAAUCCAGCCCCGAUAAAGUCUUUAUCCAUGGAGUAGAAAAGGCAACUCGGAUUAUGUUUCCAUUACGGAGAGAAGUAUAGCCCGAGUCACUAAUGCAGGAGACAAUUGCUUCAAAUAGAAGAGCUAGAAGAAGAAUAAGGGGAAGUAAAAGCUGCAGGGGAGGUGGAGGCUAUGGGAGAGGAGGAUGGUGAGAUUUCCUUGCAUGCAUUACAAGGAAGUCUAUUGAGGACAAUAAUCAAGGUGAAGGGAUCAGUGGGAAAGAAAAGGCUGAUAAUUCUUAUUGAUGGUGGGAGCACUCACAGUUUCAUAGAUGAAGUUACAGCUGAGGAAUUACAGUGCCCAACGCACUAAACACUCCCCUUAUUAGUCACAAUUGCUAAUGAUGACAAGAUGAUGAGCACACUAAGGUGUCAAGGGUUUAAGUGAAUGAUGUAGGGAGAGGAGUUCAUAGCAGAUUUGCGAAUUCUUAAGUUGGGAGGCUGCAAUAUUGUCCUCGGGGUUGAUUAGAUGAGAAUGGUAAGCCUUCUAAUCUUUGACUUUAAUAAGUUAGAGGUUACCUUUGAAAUAGAAGGGAAAAGGCUGACAUUAGCAGGAAGUUGGGAGACUGGAGAAUGUAAAAUUUUGAUAGGUUGGAAGAUGUAGAAAUUAAUCCAACGAGGGGAAUCCUCAAUAGCUCAAUUACACUCAAUUUAUGCAAUUAGGGUUGCAAACAAGCCGAGCUUAUGCAAUUAGGGCUACAAAUGGGCCAAUCUUAGCAAAUUUGAGCUAUUGAGGAUUCCCCUUAUUGGAUUAAUUUUGGCUCGGCUCGACAAAUUUGAGCACAGGCUCAAGCUUGAGCUCGAGUUGAGCUUGGAAGAGCUUGAGUUGAGCCUGGAAGCUUGGCUCAAGCUUGUGCUCGAUUAACAUAACCCCAGCUCGAGCUCAUCACCGUGCUCGAGCCCAAGCCAAAGCUUGGGAGGGGUUGUGCGGUGGCGAUAGAGAGGGAGGAUGCAGUGGGGGGCGGCGAUGGUAGGUGAUGACCUUAUAGUAGCAAGCUUCAAAAAGGGCAAUGGUGAGAGACGACAGAGAGGGCAAUGACGAGAAGCUUUAGAGAGGCGACGUAUUUCUUCUUUUCUGAAGUCGACGGCGAGAGGUUGAGGUAGUGAGAGGUGGCAAAAGGCGGCAAUCUUCUUCUCUGAAGCUAGCGACGAUAGGCGGAGGAAGUAAGGGGAGAGAUGAAAGGAAAAGCAAGAAAGAAUGGAUUUCUUGGAGAAGGUAAGAGCAGAACCACUAAAAUCAAUCAAUCAAAUGGGACAACAUCAAUCAAUUACCAAAUUUAAUAAAUAUAUAAUAUAGAUAUAAUGAUGUUAUGUAUCAUGUAUUUUUAUUUAAAUAAUAUUCUUAUAAAAUAUAUAUAUACAUAUAUUAUCUAACUAUAAAAUAAUAUAUUUAUAAAAUUAUGAAUAAAUUUAUUAAUGUAUUUAUAAACGAGCUAAUUGCGAGCCUCUAAUCGAG